rnacentral:piRNA from 1 species
UAUGAGUUUGUCAUAAGCUCUGGCUGGGGUU